UGGGGAAUAUUGCACAAUGGGCGCAAGCCUGAUGCAGCCAUGCCGCGUGUAUGAAGAAGGCCUUCGGGUUGUAAAGUACUUUCAGCGAGGAGGAAGGCAUUAAGGUUAAUAACCUUGGUGAUUGACGUUACUCGCAGAAGAAGCACCGGCUAACUCCGUGCCAGCAGCCGCGGUAAUACGGAGGGUGCAAGCGUUAAUCGGAAUUACUGGGCGUAAAGCGCACGCAGGCGGUCUGUCAAGUCGGAUGUGAAAUCCCCGGGCUCAACCUGGGAACUGCAUUCGAAACUGGCAGGCUAGAGUCUUGUAGAGGGGGGUAGAAUUCCAGGUGUAGCGGUGAAAUGCGUAGAGAUCUGGAGGA
rnacentral:rRNA from 1 species